GAUGAACGCUAGCGGCAGGCUUAACACAUGCAAGUCGAGGGGCAGCAUAAUGGAUAGCAAUAUCUAUGGUGGCGACCGGCGCACGGGUGCGUAACGCGUAUGCAACCUACCUUUAACAGGGGGAUAGCACUGAGAAUUUGGUACCAAUACCCCAUAAUAUCAUAGAAGGCAUCUUUUAUGGUUGAAAAUUCCGAAGGUUAGAGAUGGGCAUGCGUUGUAUUAGCUAGUUGGUGGGGUAACGGCUCACCAAGGCGACGUUACAUAGGGGGACUGAGAGGUUAACCCCCCACACUGGUACUGAGACACGGACCAGACUCCUACGUGGGACAGCAGUAAGGGAUAUUGGUCGAUGGAGGCAAGUCUGAACCAGCCAUGCCGCGUGCAGGAUGACGGCUCUAUGAGUUGUAAACUGCUUUUGUGCAAGGGUAAACGCAGAUACGUGUAUCUGUCUGAAAGUAUCGUACGAAUAAGGAUCGGCUAACUCCGUG
rnacentral:rRNA from 1 species